rnacentral:rRNA from 1 species
UAUCGGAACGUACCUUUCAGUGGGGGAUAACGUAGCGAAAGUUACGCUAAUACCGCAUAUUCUGUGAGCAGGAAAGCAGGGGAUCGCAAGACCUUGCGCUGAUUGAGCGGCCGAUAUCAGAUUAGCUAGUUGGUGAGGUAAAGGCUCACCAAGGCGACGAUCUGUAGCGGGUCUGAGAGGAUGAUCCGCCACACUGGAACUGAGACACGGUCCAGACUCCUACGGGAGGCAGCAGUGGGGAAUUUUGGACAAUGGGGGCAACCCUGAUCCAGCCAUGCCGCGUGAGUGAAGAAGGCCUUCGGGUUGUAAAGCUCUUUCGGCCGGGAAGAAAUCGUAUGGGUUAAUACCCUGUGCGGAUGACGGUACCGGCAUAAGAAGCACCGGCUAACUACGUGCCAGCAGCCGCGGUAAUACGUAGGGUGCGAGCGUUAAUCGGAAUUACUGGGCGUAAAGCGUGCGCAGGCGGUUUUGUAAGACAGGCGUGAAAUCCCCGGGCUCAACCUGGGAACUGCGCUUGUGACUGCAAGGCUAGAGUAUGGCAGAGGGGGGUGGAAUUCCACGUGUAGCAGUGAAAUGCGUAGAGAUGUGGAGGAACACCAAUGGCGAAGGCAGCCCCCUGGGCCAAUACUGACGCUCAUGCACGAAAGCGUGGGUAGCAAACAGGAUUAGAUACCCUGGUAGUCCACGCCCUAAACGAUGUCAACUAGGUGUUGGGUGGGUAAAACCAUUUAGUACCGGAGCUAACGCGUGAAGUUGACCGCCUGGGGAGUACGGCCGCAAGGUUAAAACUCAAAGGAAUUGACGGGGACCCGCACAAGCGGUGGAUGAUGUGGAUUAAUUCGAUGCAACGCGAAAAACCUUACCUACCCUUGACAUGUCCAGGAGCCUGAAGAGAUUUGGGUGUGCCCGAAAGGGAACUGGAACACAGGUGCUGCAUGGCUGUCGUCAGCUCGUGUCGUGAGAUGUUGGGUUAAGUCCCGCAACGAGCGCAACCCUUGUCGUUAAUUGCCAUCAUUUAGUUGGGCACUUUAACGAGACUGCCGGUGACAAACCGGAGGAAGGUGGGGAUGACGUCAAGUCCUCAUGGCCCUUAUGGGUAGGGCUUCACACGUCAUACAAUGGUCGGUACAAAGGGUUGCCAACCCGCGAGGGGGAGCCAAUCCCAGAAAGCCGAUCGUAGUCCGGAUCGCAGGCUGCAACUCGCCUGCGUGAAGUCGGAAUCGCUAGUAAUCGUGGAUCAGCAUGUCACGGUGAAUACGUUCCCGGGUCUUGUACACACCGCCCGUCACACCAUGGGAGCGGGUUCCGCCAGAAGUAGGUAGCCUAACCGCAAGGGGGGCGCUUACCACGGCGGGGUUCGUGACUGGGGUGAAGUCGUAACAAGGUA